rnacentral:rRNA from 1 species
CUGUGGAUUGUAAACUCCUUUUCUCAGGGAAGAAGAACUGACGGUACCUGAGGAAUCAGCAUCGGCUAACUCCGUGCCAGCAGCCGCGGUAAGACGGAGGAUGCAAGCGUUAUCCGGAAUUAUUGGGCGUAAAGCGUCCGUAGGCGGUUUAUCAAGUCUGUCGUUAAAGACUGCAGCUUAACUGUGGGCGAGCGAUGGAAACUGAUGAACUGGAGUGCGGUAGGGGUAGAGGGAAUUCCCAGUGUAGCGGUGAAAUGCGUAGAUAUUGGGAAGAACACCAGUGGCGAAGGCGCUCUACUGGGCCGCAACUG